rnacentral:rRNA from 1 species
UACAGAGGUCUCAAGCGUUGUUCGGAUUCAUUGGGCGUACAGGGUGUGUAGGUGGCGCCGUAAGUCGGGUGUGAAAUCUCGGGGCUUAACUCCGAAACUGCAUUCGAUACUGCGGUGCUUGAGGACUGGAGAGGAGACUGGAAUUCAUGGUGUAGCAGUGAAAUGCGUAGAGAUCAUGAGGAAGACCAGUGGCGAAGGCGGGUCUCUGGACAGUUCCUGACACUGAGACACGAAGGCCAGGGGAGCAAACGGG